rnacentral:rRNA from 1 species
UACGUAGGGUGCAGGCGUUAAUCGGAAUUACUGGGCGUAAAGCGUGCGCAGGCGGUCUUUUAAGUCAGAUGUGAAAUCCCCGGGCUUAACCUGGGAAUUGCAGUCGAUACUACUUAGCUAGAGUAUGGGAGAGGGCAGUGGAAUUCCCGGUGUAGCGGUGAAAUGCGUAGAUAUCGGGAGGAACAUCAGUGGCGAAGGCGGCUGCCUGGCCAAAUACUGACACUCAGGUGCGACAGCGUGGGGAGCAAACAGG